rnacentral:lncRNA from 1 species
UUUGAUUUACGGAGAUAAAAAAAUGGAGGCUUCUUAUUUGUCAUAUUGUCUCUGCGAAACUAUUUUUAUGAAAAAAGAUAAAAUUAAAGAAAAAAUUAAAGGGAAAUCAGUAGAAUUCAAUAAAUUGAACACUUGCCUUCCACAAAUGAAAUUAUGUUCGUCACAUUCAGUGUCUUUCCUCUGUUUGCUGACGACCGAAUCAUCCUGCGCAAAAACACCAUUAAAUUUCAGUCAUAACAAUAAAAUGAAAAGGGUUAA